AAGCGCUCAUGACCAGACUUGUGCCCUGUAACUCAGCCUCUCGGCGUACUUUACAGGGUUCAGGCCAGCAUCGGUUUCCCCCGGGGGAUAAAGGCUUUGGGAACGUGGCUCUUCGGAGUGUUAUAGCCCAUUGCGCAAUACCCUGGAGGAGACCGAGGUUAGCGCUCUGCAAGGAUGCUGGCGUAAUGGUCAUCAGCGA
rnacentral:rRNA from 1 species